rnacentral:rRNA from 1 species
GGAGGAAAGUAGGGGAUCGUAAGACCUUGCACUUUUGGAGCGGCCGAUGUCUGAUUAGCUAGUUGGUGGGGUAAUGGCCUACCAAAGCUUCGAUCAGUAGCUGGUCUGAGAGGACGGCCAGCCACACUGGGACUGAGACACGGCCCAGACUCCUACGGGAGGCAGCAGUGGGGAAUUUUGGACAAUGGGGGCAACCCUGAUCCAGCCAUGCCGCGUGAGUGAAGAAGGCCUUCGGGUUGUAAAGCUCUUUCAGCCGGAACGAAACGGUUACGGUUAAUACCCGUGACUACUGACGGUACCGGAAGAAGAAGCACCGGCUAACUACGUGCCAGCAGCCGCGGUAAUACGUAGGGUGCGAGCGUUAAUCGGAAUUACUGGGCGUAAAGCGUGCGCAGGUGGUUUUGUAAGUCAGAUGUGAAAUCCCCGGGCUCAACCUGGGAACUGCGUUUGAAACUACAAAGCUAG